UACGGAGGGUGCUAGCGUUGUUCGGAAUUACUGGGCGUAAAGCGCGUGCAGGCGGUUGAGCAAGUCAGAUGUGAAAGCCUUCCGCUUAACGGAAGAAGUGCAUUUGAAACUACUCGGCUCGAGUUCGGGAGAGGAGAGUGGAAUUCCCGGUGUAGAGGUGAAAUUCGUAGAUAUCGGGAGGAACACCGGUGGCGAAGGCGGCUCUCUGGCCCGAUACUGACGCUGAGACGCGAAAGCGUGGGGAG
rnacentral:rRNA from 1 species